rnacentral:rRNA from 1 species
UACGGGGGGGGCAAGCGUUGUUCGGAAUUACUGGGCGUAAAGGGCUCGUAGGUGGCCAACUAAGUCAGACGUGAAAUCCCUCGGCUUAACCGGGGAACGUGCGUCUGAUACUGGAUGGCUUGAGUUCGGGAGAGGAUGCGGAAUUCCAGGUGUAGCGGUGAAAUGCGUAGAUAUCUGGAGGAACACCGGUGGCGAAGGCGGCAUCCUGGACCGAGUAGU